ensembl:ncRNA W03D2.14 ncRNA
CUCAGUGAACACGGUCAGUCUGUCUUCGUCUGCAAUGUACGGUUUACUGCUAAAAGUCUUUAUCGACUUGUAGUUGUUGCCGUGUUGGCAUGGCUCGCUUGGUAUUUUUCAAAGCCAUGCCGCCAGGAGGCGGUCCACAUCCAGCAGACCGUGGCUGAAAGACCCAACGAACCAGGAAGGAUUUAUACCUUCGACCCUCCGAAAAAUUGGUUUCCAUAUUGCGACUAGACAUGCAGGGAGUGGCAACUGUUUUCUACAUUUCAAACAACUAAAGUCAAUCAACUAUUUCAAAAUCAUUACUUAUCAAAUGUUUCAUUUCAAUAAAAUUG